rnacentral:rRNA from 1 species
CCUACGGGAGGCAGCAGUGGGGAAUAUUGGACAAUGGGCGAAAGCCUGAUCCAGCAAUGCCGCGUGAGUGAAGAAGGCCUUCGGGUUGUAAAGCUCUUUUACCCGGGAAGAUAAUGACUGUACCGGGAGAAUAAGCCCCGGCUAACUCCGUGCCAGCAGCCGCGGUAAUACGGAGGGGGCUAGCGUUGUUCGGAAUUACUGGGCGUAAAGCGUACGUAGGCGGCUUUGUAAGUCAGAGGUGAAAGCCCACGACUCAAUCGUGGAACUGCCUUUGAGACUGCUUCGCUUGAAGAUGGGAGAGGUUAGUGGAAUUCCGAGUGUAGAGGUGAAAUUCGUAGAUAUUCGGAAGAACACCAGUGGCGAAGGCGGCUAACUGGACCAUUCUUGACGCUGAGGUACGAAAGCGUGGGGAGCAAACAGGAUUAGAUACCCUGGUAGUCCACGCCGUAAACGAUGAUAACUAGCUGUCGGGGCUCUUGGAGCUUCGGUGGCGCAGCUAACGCAUUAAGUUAUCGCCUGGGGAGUACGGCCGCAGGUUAAACUCAAAGGAAUUGACGG